ensembl:lincRNA
GGAAGAUUGAAAUAAUGGAGAAACCAGCCCCUGCCGGAAGCUACUACCAGGCUGGAUGGGCAAAGAGGGAAGGGUCCGCAUCGCUAGAUGGCAGCUGGAACCAGAGCAGGCCUCUCCAGUCAAAGCUGAAGCCAUGGAAAAGAUGGACCUUCAGUUUUCAUCUCAGCGAGGAAAAUGUGCCCAGCAACAAUAUUAGACAGACCCCUGUUGGCCUACGGAGGCUAUGCAAAGCUGUCAAAAAUGAUAACACACUAAAGACAAACCACAAGUGCUUACCAACUCCGCCUAGAAACAACAGACAUGUUUGCUUGGGAAGCUUGACUGAGUUGAGACAUUUAAAUAUUAAAUAACAUAAAUGCCAAAAUGAAGUUUUUAGAAGACAUAAGGGGAUGCUGGACAAUUAUUUUCUUCUCGUUCGCCCUUAAAAGGAAAGUCUUGAAUCCUUCUCCCCCCAAAAGUGGAUGUUGCAGGGUCUGAAAGGGACAGCUUUACAUACUGCUAAAAGGACCGCAGCAGAAAAGCAUCGGGGCUGAUCUGUAGUGUUUGUCUUUGUAAGCUUGCCACGUGAAAGAGAUGUUAAAUUCUGGGCCAACAACAACAACAACAAACUAAAGCUAAUCAUUUUUAACAACCUGGGAGGGGGUGGUUAAGUGAAAAGCCUGGUAUCCUGGCCAGAACUUAACAGGUAUUCGGUCAACUGGAAUUUUGUUUCUCUCCCGAUGUCUUGGGUUCGCAUUCGCGUGCCCCCUUGGUGUCAGUUUUAUGAAGCAGAGGAAAAUCUGCACCAAAAAUGUGAGAAAAGCUGAGAAUUGUCACUGUGGGGAAUCUCGGCAUGGGCUGCUUUGCUAAUAGUGUUCAUGUCCUUUUAAAAUCUUAGCCGAAAUCUUUAUCAGAUCUCUUUUUCUAAAUGGACUAUUAUCUCCAGGGCUGGUGAGUGACUGCUCCUGUUCAAUGAGGUGUUUGCAAAGAGAAGGAAGGAAGGUGGAUCUGUUUCUUUCCAAUGGGCUAUUUUCUUCUUCCCUUUCAGUCUUCGUUCUUACCUCAGUCAUACAUGAUAAUAUGAUCCACAACAAAAUCAGUGGAGGAGACCUUCUUUCUGCCCUGCAAUCAUCUUUGAUUGAUUGUAUUUCAACAAUUAGUCUUUUAUUUGGCUACGUACUAUUGAAAUAGGCCGACAGCAACUUAGCAGGCCAGCUUUAAACAGUCAACUGUUAACAAUAGCAUCAAAAAGGGAGACCUGAUGGGGUUUACUGUCACUUUAAAGAACGGGGUUUUCACAUUGUUGAAAUCUGUCAGAUAUUUUGAAAUGUCCCUCUCACUAUGGUGCCACACCCCCUGCGUGCCCUUAUAAUAAAAUUGGUUUUACUCCUGAUUAAAUCAUUUUCUCCCUACCCACUACCAUACUUCUCAUAAUGGACCUGUGCGCUCUACAGCUGGUGUUCUUCCCAUGGUACCAAUUCUUACUUUAUCUUUUAAGCACUUUGCUGCUAAGAUCUCAUGCAGAGUGCUUAUGUUUUGUUAAGAGCUUCAUUCUUAGAGAAAUAGCUUAACACAUGUUCUAAAAAUGUUGUACAACUUAUUGCUUAAAACACAUUUAGAAAAUGUAUAAGUACUGUAGCUUUGGCACUGAACUUUAAGUGGAAACCUAAACACACACACACACACACACACACACACACGUGCUCUCUCACACACAACUAUCUUAACCAACUAUUUAUCAGAAAAGUCCAAGACAAAAUGCCAAUCUGGUGCACAGGUUCAAGAUUGCCAAAGGAAAG